UCAUCACGUGGGUUAAGAGCAGUAACCUUAUGGCCAUACGACUCUCUCCUAAAACAGUUCCAGUCAAAUAGUUGUUGGUAGUUGACUUCGACGGUACAUUCAUCAUGGUGUAAUUUAGGUGUUUUAAGUUUGUUUAUAAAGAGCGAAAACCUGUGUUUGAGUGAAAGGUUAGAAGCUUGCUUUAUCUUGAUUUUUAAAACGAGUACAUACAGUGAAAAUUUAGCCUACCGAUUCUUUUCAUCUAGAUGGUUUUUGGCAAGAAGUGUUAGAAAAGUUAUUACAUAGAUAACUUGCUUGUAGCUUAUUCAGUGUCCAUAGUAACGUUGCUUUGUGAUUCUUUGAUGUCGGAUAUUCUUAUCAUUGCAAAGUAAAAUCCGCUAGAUGUUGGAUUGUGACUUCAACGGAUUUUGACCGAUAUGAUGCUAGUCCUUUGCUCGCUUUGCCUUACUGUUAAUUAAUUGUUAAUCUCGAUAGCAAUCCUGCAUAGUACGGACCAAACAGCAAAUUUAGACAUUUGGUUCGUAGACUUUAGGGAUCGGCUAAUAGUUUGAAGCUGACGUUUG
rnacentral:ncRNA from 1 species